rnacentral:lncRNA from 1 species
GUGACCUAUAGUUGUUAAUUUAUGUGUCCUUUGGUCUCUUUGAAGAGUUGUCUCAUUGGCAAUUACACCACAUCUUCUUAUAUGUAGUCAAAAUCACUGGAAAGAACUGAUGAGAAUUUGGACUUGUUACUUCAAGGAACUAGCACUUUAAUCAUGCAGGACAAUACACAUCAACACGUCAUUGUUGAGAAACAAAUGAAAGCCUUGCUGUUGUUUGGAAAUCACCGUUCUCAUUCAUUUAAAAGAAUGUUUUUUUACUUUUUUUUAAAGAUUAAAGAAAAUUGGGGAAAAAA